rnacentral:RNase_P_RNA from 1 species
AGAGUUGGCUUGGUAAUCGCUAUUUCUCAUUAAUUGAGUAAGUAGAGGAAAGUCCGGGCUCCUUCGGACAAGGUGCCAGGUAACGCCUGGGGGGCGCAAGCUCAUGGAUAGUGCCACAGAAAAUAUACCGCCUAAGUACUUAUGUACCGGUAAGGUUGAAAUGGUGCGGUAAGAGCGCACCGCAUAAAUGGCAACAUUUAUGGCAGGGAAAACCCCGCCUGGAGCAAGACCAAAUAGAGAAGUAAUUGACUAAUGUCAUACCGUCGGUUCCGAACGGACUUCUGGGUAGGUUGCUAGAGGUAGUUGGUGACAACUAUUCGAGAUGAAUGAUUACCCUCGACAGAACCCGGCUUAUGGCCAACUCUUACU